UAAGCAUAUCAAUAAGCAGAGGAAAAGAAACUAACAAGGAUUCCCCUAGUAACUGCGAGUGAAGCGGGAAAAGCUCAAAUUUAAAAUCUGGUGGUCUUUAGCCAUCCGAGUUGUAAUUUAGAGAAGCAUCUUCCGCGCUGGACCGUGUACAAGUCUCCUGGAAUGGAGCGUCAUAGAGGGUGAGAAUCCCGUCUUUGGCACGGAAAUGUCAGGGCUUUUGUGAUGUGCUCUCAAAGAGUCGAGUUGUUUGGGAAUGCAGCUCAAAAUGGGUGGUGAACUCCAUCUAAAGCUAAAUAUUGGCGAGAGACCGAUAGCGAACAAGUACCGUGAGGGAAAGAUGAAAAGCACUUUGGAAAGAGAGUGAAACAGUACGUGAAAUUGUUGAAAGGGAAACGCUUGAAGUCAGUCGUGUUGACCAAGACUCAGCCUUGCCUUGGCUUGGUGUAAUUCUUGGCUGACAGGCCAGCAUCAAUUUUGUCUCUUGGAUAAUGGUAAGGGAAAUGUGACACCUUUAUGGUGUGUUAUAGUCUCUUGUCGCAUGCAAGGGUUGAGAUUGAGGAACUCAGCACGCACCUUUCCGGUGUCGGGGUUUUGCUCACGAUACGUGCUUAGGAUGUUGGCAUAAUGGCUUUAAACGACCCGUCUUGAAACACGGACCAAGGAGUCUAACAUGCCUGCGAGUGUUUGGGUGGAAAACCCGUGCGCGUAAUGAAAGUGAAAGUUGGGACCUUUGUCGUGAAGGGCACCGACGCCCGGACCAGACCUUCUGUGACGGCUCUGCGGUAAAGCAUGUAUGUUAGGACCCGAAAGAUGGUGAACUAUGCCUGAAUAGGGUGAAGCCAGAGGAAACUCUGGUGGAGGCUCGUAGCGAUUCUGACGUGCAAAUCGAUCGUCAAAUUUGGGUAUAGGGGCGAAAGACUAAUCGAACCAUCUAGUAGCUGG
rnacentral:rRNA from 1 species